CAGCCGCCGCGGUAAUACCGGCGGCCCGAGUGGCGGUCACUAUUAUUGGGCUUAAAACGUCCGUAGCCGGGUUGGGAAGUCCUCCGGGAAAUCUGGCCGCUUAACGGUCAGAAUGCCGGAGGAUACUCCCAGCCUAGGGAGCGGGAGAGGCCGAGGGUAUUCCCGGAGUAGGGGUGAAAUCCUAUAAUCCCGGGAGGACCACCUGUGGCGAAGGCGCUCGGCUGGAACGCGUCCGACGGUGAGGGACGAAGGCCAGGGGAGCAAACCGGAUUAGAUACCCGGGUAGUCCUGGCUGUAAACGAUGCGGACUUUGUGUCGGACAAGCUAUGAGCUUGUCCGGUGCCGGAGGGAAACCGUUAAGUCCGCCGCCUGGGGAGUACGGCCGCAAGGCUGAAACUUAAGGAAUUGGCGGG
rnacentral:rRNA from 1 species